UACGGAGGAUGCGAGCGUUAUCCGGAUUCAUUGGGUUUAAAGGGUACGUAGGUGGCCCUGUAAGUCAGUGGUGAAAACCUGUCGCUCAACGAUAGGCGUGCCAUUGAUACUGCGGGGCUUGAGUCCAGUUGAGGUAGGCGGAAUGUGUAGUGUAGCGGUGAAAUGCAUAGAUAUUACACAGAACUCCGAUUGCGAAGGCAGCUUACUAAACUGACACUGACGCUGAGGUACGAAAGCGUGGGUAGCGAACAGGAUUAGAUACCCUGGUAGUCCACGCCGUAAACGAUGCUCACUGGCUGUAUGCGAUACACCGUAUGCGGCCAAGCGAAAGCGCUAAGUGAGCCACCUGGGGAGUACGCCGGCAACGGUGAA
rnacentral:rRNA from 1 species